GCUGCUUGAAAACUCAGAGUGGCGGCUCCAGCUCUCACCAUGCUGUUUCUGCAGUGAAGCAAACAGCUACACCUACCACACCACCCACCUGUCACUCAAAACAGUUUUAAUUAUGCAUAAUUUAAUGUCUAGAUAUAGUUUAUAAUAAUCCCACACACAGUUGCCAUGAAUGGAGAAUAUAACUUAAGCGACUAAAACUAAGCGACACUUUUUGAGUUAGCCUCUACCGGCCAUUAGAGGAACUGCAGUUCUCUGGUACUUUGGCGUUAGCCCUAAUUUUCAAUUCGUCCGCUAGGUGGCGGUAAUGCACUUGCAAACUAGUUUACAAACUGGCAAGGACAUUAAUUAAAUGUAAAUAAAAGAAGAAGAAAAACAUUGUAGAAGAAGACAUUUGUGUGACUUCGAAAUGUUUUUGUAGUGACAUUAAAAAGAAACGAGGGUAAAACGGAGAAGUAGUUGUUGAGACGCGAUCAACGCCGUUACAGCAAGAACCUGACUGAAGGUUACAAGACAGUAGUGGACAUGUCAGGAAUAAACAGCUCUCAGAAGUCGCUCUCCAAGUCUCUCCCAAGUUUCCACCUCAUGGAUCAAGCUCAGAAGCUCUGCCCAUCUACCUUCGGUUUCUGAAGCUUUCAGCUUGUUGCCACGGUAGCCUAGCUCCCACCGCCCCAUUAUCCCAGCAGCCCACUCACACAUGCAUAUACAGGCUCCGCAAACACAGGCCGUCGCACACAAGGCCCUAAUGAAAUGAAUCCUUCUGUAUCAGCAGCGCACUGGCCAUUUGGCACAAUGAACCGCCAUGAAUAAUUCAGCCAGAAGAGCAGCGAUAGACGGCAAAGACAGAAGAGAGGAGAUGAGAGGAGGAAAAGGUGGAGCAGAGAUGAGAGGCAAGUGGCUGAAAACAAGAGGGGAGCGGCAGGACAUUAGUGUGGGAGUUAGCUAAGAUGCGAGUAGCAGAGGAGGGGAGACACGAGAGGGAAAUAUUCGAACUUGCUGAGUCAAGUGAGAGGAGAUCUGUGUGUUUCUGACAAUACAGAGGCCCCUUUGUGCCGCCCUGUGCAGAUGCCUGUGCACAAACACACUGGGACGACCGAGCCGUGCCAGACUCUGCUGCCUCCCUCUUUCCUCCCUCUAUCUGCACCGUUCUGCUUCACUUCUAAAGCUG